rnacentral:rRNA from 1 species
AGAGUUUGAUCCUGGCUCAGCCUGAACGCUGGCGGCGUGGCUAAGACAUGCAAGUCGCACGGGCGCCCAGCAAUGGGUGUCAGUGGCGAACGGGUGAGUAAUGUGUCGCUAACGUGCCCCGGACCCCGGGAUAGCUACCCGAAAGGGUAGGUAAUACCGGAUGAGACCACGACCCGGCAUCGGGUGGUGCUCAAAGGUCCGCCGGUCCGGGAGCGGGCGACAUCGUAUCAGGUAGUUGGCGGGGUAACGGCCCACCAAGCCGACGACGCGUAGCUGGUCUGAGAGGACGGCCAGCCACAUCGGGACUGAGACACUGCCCGGACUCCUACGGGGGGCUGCAGUAACGAAUCUUCCGCAAUGCACGAAAGUGUGACGGAGCGACGCCGCGUGGAGGACGAAGUCCUUCGGGAUGUAAACUCCUGUCAGGGGCCACCAAGUUCUGAGGGGCCCCAGAGGAAGGCACGGCUAACUCUGUGCCAGCAGCCGCGGUAAGACAGAGGUGCCGAGCGUUAGGCGGAAUCACUGGGCUUAAAGCGUGUGUAGGCGGACCCGUCAGUGUCUUGUGAAAUCCCACCGCUCAACGGUGGAACGGCUGGGCAUACUGCGGGUCUUGAGCCACCCAGGGGCGAGCGGAACAAGCGGUGGAGCGGUGAAAUGCGUAGAUAUCGCUUGGAACGCCGGCGGUGAAAACGGCUCGCUGGGGGUGUGCUGACGCUGAGACACGAAAGCCAGGGGAGCGAACGGGAUUAGAUACCCCCGUAGUCC